rnacentral:lncRNA from 1 species
CCUGGAUUUAUGAGUUUUGAACAGCGGUAUACUACUGUUGCCUUUAUUUGGCAUUACUAAAUUCAUCCUGGUUAAUAAUAUAUUUAUCUAGAUUUCACUGAUUUCCAUUAGGUGGGACCAGUUGGCAGGAGUAAUAUUAACGGAAUUUAACUUAUAUACAACGGGAUAACAUCUUUUUACAUGAGUGGGGCGAGUUGGCAUUAGUAAAUUCUUCCUGGUUAAUAAUAUAUUUAUCUAGAUAUUAUCGUUUUCUAUAAGGUUGGGGCAAGUUGGCAGGAGUAAUAUUAAGGGAUAUAACACAUUUCACAAGUGGGGCGAUUUGGUUAUCCAGGUUGGGGCAGUUUUUUUUUAAAGUGGGGCGAGUUAGUGAAAAAGUGGGGCUAUUUGCUAAUGGGGCGAUUUGUCAUGGAUUCCCUUCAAAUAUAUUCUAAUGUGG